rnacentral:rRNA from 1 species
AUUGAACGCUGGCGGCAUGCCUUACACAUGCAAGUCGAACGGCAGCACGGGAGCAAUCCUGGUGGCGAGUGGCGAACGGGUGAGUAAUAUAUCGGAACGUGCCCAGUCGUGGGGGGAUAACGUAGCGAAAGUUACGCUAAUACCGCAUACGAUCUAUGGAUGAAAGCGGGGGAUCGCAAGACCUCGCGCGAUUGGAGCGGCCGAUAUCAGAUUAGGUAGUUGGUGGGGGUAAAGGCUCACCAAGCCGACGAUCUGUAGCUGGUCUGAGAGGACGACCAGCCACACUGGGACUGAGACACGGCCCAGACUCCUACGGGAGGCAGCAGUGGGGAAUCUUGCGCAAUGGGCGAAAGCCUGACGCAGCAACGCCGCGUGGGGGAUGAAGGCUCUCGGGUUGUAAACCCCUUUCAGCAGGGACGAAUCAAGACGGUACCUGCAGAAGAAGCCCGGCUAACUACGUGCCAGCAGGCCGCGGUAA